UUGGAGGACUAAGAAAGUAAAACCAUAUAAGCCUUAUGGCUUUUACUGAUACUAUCCUCCUAGAGAAAGUGGUAGAGGAACAGGUCAAAUUACAAGAUGUAUGUCAGACCUACUUCAUCUACCAACACUA